UGAGGUAGUAGGUUGUGUGGUUGG
rnacentral:ncRNA from 6 species